rnacentral:rRNA from 1 species
GGGGGGGGGGGGGGGGGGGCGUGGGGCGGGGGAGGCGGGCGGGAGGGCCGGGCUUUUGUGGGGUGCGCGAGGGGCGAACGGGGGAGUAAGACGGGAGUAACCUGCCCUUGACUUUGGGAUAACUUCAGGAGACUGGGGCUAAUACCGGAUAGGAGCUCCUGCUGCAUGGUGGGGGUGGGAAAGUUUCGGCGGUUGGGGAUGGACUCGCGGCUUAUCAGCUUGUUGGUGGGGUAGUGGCUUACCAAGGCUGUGACGGGUAGCCGGCCUGAGAGGGUGACCGGCCACAGUGGGACUGAGAUACGGCCCAGACUCCUACGGGAGGCAGCAGUGGGGAAUAUUGCACAAUGGGCGGAAGCCUGAUGCAGCAACGCCGCGUGCGGGAUGACGGCCUUCGGGUUGUAAACCGCUUUCGCCUGUGACGAAGCGUGAGUGACGGUAAUGGGUAAAGAAGCACCGGCUAACUACGUG